rnacentral:lncRNA from 1 species
UAUUGGUUCCUACUUCGUACUAAACAAACUGGGUUUGGUUUGAAAUUUAAGCAACAUCUUUCAAUCGUAACAUUUUUUUUUUUAUUUUUCCCCUCUAAAAUAUAUUAGCAUGUGUUGUAUUAGCUUAGGUAAAUUGUAUUUCAAUUUCUUGUAGUUGUUGUGUAAAAAUAAAAUAUCGGUAAUAACAAUGUAUCGCAAGGAAAAAAAGAAAAAAAAUAAAGAACACACAGAUUUUACAUGAAAACUCUUUUGAAAAAAAACUACGGGC